rnacentral:lncRNA from 1 species
AGCAGAGCAGAGGCUUGGAGACACAUCCGUUCCUAUUGCUUCCUGGAUAAACCUUGAAAUUCAUCCUAGAAAGAGAGGGAAACUGAGUCCCUGGAAAGGCCCAGCAGAGAUGGAUCCAAACAAGCUUUCAAUGGAAGAGGGCAAGCAGUUCCUUAAACAGUGUGGGAUCCCACAAAGAGAUGUGAGUAUAGGUGAUGAUGGGUGAAGAGAAGUUCCAUGGAGUGAGGUGGAGUAGAAUGUACAGUCCCCUUGAAUCAGCAUCCUAUCCCAUGCCCUGAGUGUGUACAGAUCUAUUCAAAGGAACACAGCACCUGACACCUAGCUACUAAUCCAG